rnacentral:rRNA from 1 species
UAGCUAAAUGCGGAAGAGAUAAGUGCUGAAAGCAUCUAAGCACGAAACUUGCCCCGAGAUGAGUUCUCCCUGACUCCUUGAGAGUACUGAAGGAACGUUGAAGACGACGACGUUGAUAGGCCGGGUGUGUAAGCGCAGCGAUGCGUUGAGCUAACCGGUACUAAUGAACCGUGAGGCUUAACCUUACAACGCCGAAG